rnacentral:tRNA from 1 species
GACAGUUUGGCCGAGUGGUCUAAGGCGCCAGAUUUAGGCUCUGGUCCGAAACGGCGUGGGUUUAAAUCCCACAGCUGUCA